GAGACCGGAAACGCAAAUUUACCCGUGUCGCAACUGUUGAGGCUGGGGAUGAAUGUCUGAUUUCAGGAGCUUCAAAAAGGCCACGUACAGGGGACACAUUGACCAGCCAGCACAGAGGACCUUACAAGAUUGGAAACAUUACAAAAAAGGGAGUGGCCACUGUGCUGAAGGGAUCAACAACCAUGAAGGUCAAUGUGUCCAGACUGAGGCCCUAUUAUAGGUUAACAAAUGAGCAACUAUCUGAAGGGCAGCUCCUCAACGACCACGAAUACUCCUCUAGGGACUGGCAGCAGGAGCAUUCCUAUUGUUUUUCUGGAGCAAAGUGGGAACGGGAUGUGAACCCAGUUCAAGAGGCUCUUCUAUGUUACAUAUUGGACCAGGAUUGUUCACCUGCUGAGCUAAUUGUGAAGGAGAGA